GAUACCGCCCUAGUUCUAACCAUAAACGAUGCCAACCAGCGAUCCGCCUGGGUUCCUCAAAUGACUCGGCGGGCAGCUUCCGGGAAACCAAAGUGUUUGGGUUCCGGGGGAAGUAUGGUUGCAAAGUUCAAACUUAAAGGAAUUGACGGAAGGGCACCACCAGGCGUGGAUCCUGCGGCUUAAUUUGACUCAACACGGGAAAGCCUACCCGGUCCGGACACUGGAAGGAUUGACAGAUUAAGAGCUCUUUCUUGAUUCAGUGGGUGGUGGUGCAUGGCCGUUCUUAGUUGGUGGAGCGAUUUGUCUGGUUAAUUCCGAUAACGAACGAGACUCUAGCCUACUAAAUAGGCGUCCCGAUCCCUUGCGUCGGGCGCUCUUCUUAGAGGGACAAGCGGCGUUUAGCCGCACGAGACAGAGCAAUAACAGGUCUGUGAUGCCCUUAGAUGUCCGGGGCCGCACGCGCGCUACACUGAAGGAAUCAGCGUGUGCUCUCCCUGUCCGCCAGGACUGGGUAACCCGUUGAACCUCCUUCGUGAUAGGGAUAGGGGCUUGUAAUUGUUCCCCUUGAACGAGGAAUGCCCAGUAAGCGCGAGUCAUAAGCUCGUGUUGAUUAUGUCCCUGCCCUUUGUACACACCGCCCGUCGCUACUACCGAU
rnacentral:rRNA from 1 species